AUUGAACGCUGGCGGCAGGCCUAACACAUGCAAGUCGAACGGUAACAGGAAACAGCUUGCUGUUUCGCUGACGAGUGGCGGACGGGUGAGUAAUGUCUGGGAAACUGCCUGAUGGAGGGGGAUAACUACUGGAAACGGUAGCUAAUACCGCAUAACGUCGCAAGACCAAGGAGGGGGACCUUCGGGCCUCUUGCCAUCGGAUGUGCCCAGAUGGGAUUAGCUAGUAGGUGGGGUAACGGCUCACCUAGGCGACGAUCCCUAGCUGGUCUGAGAGGAUGACCAGCCACACUGGAACUGAGACACGGUCCAGACUCCUACGGGAGGCAGCAGUGGGGAAUAUUGCACAAUGGGCGCAAGCCUGAUGCAGCCAUGCCGCGUGUAUGAAGAAGGCCUUCGGGUUGUAAAGUACUUUCAGCGGGGAGGAAGGGAGUAAAGUUAAUACCUUUACUCAUUGACGUUACCCGCAGAAGAAGCACCGGCUAACUCCGUG
rnacentral:rRNA from 1 species